UACGGGGGGGGGCAAGCGUUGUUCGGAAUUACUGGGCGUAAAGCGCACGUAGGCGGCUUUGUAAGUUAGAGGUGAAAGCCCGGGGCUCAACUCCGGAAUUGCCUUUAAGACUGCAUCGCUAGAAUUGUGGAGAGGUAAGUGGAAUUCCGAGUGUAGAGGUGAAAUUCGUAGAUAUUCGGAAGAACACCAGUGGCGAAGGCGACUUACUGGACACAUAUUGACGCUGAGGUGCGAAAGCGUGGGGGAGCAAACAGG
rnacentral:rRNA from 1 species